AACUAGGAAUCACAAGGUUGUGGGUUCAAUCCCUGGCCUCGCUCAGAGGUGAGAAAACCACAUUCACUAAUAGGAAGAAAACUGAAUAUAAGAAAACCAAAUAUAGGAAGAAUCUUACAAUGCACAGAUGACUUUAUUCCAGGAAUUCAUGAAUGGUGUAGUAGAACAAUUUAAUGAUCUCAACAGAUGAAGAAAGACAUGUAAUAAGAUAUAGGGCAUGAAGACAGAGUCCUCCCAUGACGUAGAAAUCACUAAGUUUGCCUGGGAAAACUGAGAUUAACAGAACUUGGUACCUUACCCAAAGUCACACAAACAAUUGGCAAACUGACAUAAAAAGCUAGAAUUAACCUGAUUUCAAGCGUAUACAAACACAUGGACACUGGCUCUCUCUCACACACACACACACACAAACUCUACGUAUUUAUGGCACGAUUUUAACACGCCAUGGAUCUCGGUGGCAGGUACAUAGCAGAACAUUUUACUAUUCUUUCGACUUUUCUGUAUGGUUGAAAAAUUUCAGAUGAAACCUUGGGAAAUAGAAUACUCCAAUGCUUAGCACAGACCCAAGUGUCUAUCGACUUGAGGCCCCUGUAUGUUCCAACCCCCUCAACCUCUCCCAAGGAGUCCCACACAGCCCCCCACCCUGCCCUUCGCUGUCGCGCCCAUUCGCAGUUCCCCACACACCUAUUUUCACCCGGACCACGGGCCCUUCCGACGCUCAGAUUCCGACCACAGGAAUCCCAGAUGGCUAAGCCCCAGCCCUAGCCUCACCAACCGUAUCCAGAUGAGUCCCUUAGUCAUGGGCUCUUCCAACGCCUCCCUCCACCUCCCGGGGGGCGAUCCGGAGCCAACCUGUCACUGUCAACACCAAUAGUUUCUUCCUACGGCCACUCCUCAACACUGAUGGAGGUCCGAGCCACCCACAAGGCCCCCCAAACUCGGAGGCUGCCGUAAACAACAAUCCACCACGAGUACCCACCACAAACCACAUCUUAAGUCCUGGAAUUCCCACCACGCGGGAUUCUUAAAGCCGCUCGCGGAAAUCUAAAACCAAUAUUGUGACCUCAAGUCCGGGGAAGCCAAGCUUCCUACGCCACUUCCGCUGACGUCGGGGACAGGCCACCUCCACACCUCAGAUUCAAGGCCCCUUGGGAAGUGAGCAUUAGAUUCAGGUGCCUGGCGGAAUGAUUGCCGUACAACAUGGCCGCGCCAACGUCGUUUCUUUAGGUUGGGAGUGGCCAUCUUGGACCUUGCGCCGCCAUUUUGGAUCAUGCGCCGCUGGGAGAGUGAGGUGGCCAUUCCGGCUGACGAAGCCGAAAAGGUGCGGAUUCGAUGACUUCUCUUCAAGAUUUUUCUUCUCCGGCUCUUCCAUCUCCUCAGCUGCUGCCAGCACCGUCGCGCCUGCUCAGGAGCAUUUCAGCGCUCUAGCCCCCAGCCUUCCGACCUGACUGGGGAGCGAAACCCACCACAGAGCUGGCCUGAGCGGAGGCCGGCCGCGCCGUCUCGUCGCCUCUGGAUGUGCUUCGCGAGGAGAGACGGCGGCGAGCGGGAAGUUGGAGCAGAAAAUGGAAGUGCCGGCUGUCGUAUCUGAGAUCACUGCAGAAAUGUUCUUAGCAGUCAUCUACUAAGAACCUAUUUCAUACCCAUCUCUGGGAAAAGCCAGUUUCCUGAGAUUAAAGCCUGUGAGGAAGGUCUCUAUCAACUGUCCUUGUUUAUGGAUCCUGUUUUCCUGCUUCUCUGCACACCUGGGAACAGGAGGGGAAGAGAGCAAGAAUCAAGAAGUAAGCAAAGAAGUAAGAAAAUUACAGGACAUGAAAAAUGGUAUGGAGGAAGUGAUAGAGUAGCAGUAAGUCAAUCUUUUUUUUU